rnacentral:lncRNA from 1 species
CCAGGUGCCACCCGCCCCACCCCCGAGCACACGCUGCGGAAUUCUGACGGCACGAAGCAGAGUCACGAGCGCAGCCGGAGCAGUCGAGCGGGCAGGACACCGGAUAGCAUCACUAUUGGAAAACCUGAGAUUGGUGCUGAAGAUAUUUUUCAGACCCUGCAGUUGAUGGAUCAGCUGGCGUCACCCAGAUUGAGAAACUGGCUGGCUGGUCCUGUGGCCCCUACCCAGGAAUCUGCUUAGCGCAAGAGGACCACUUGGAGGCUCUGUGAUUUUGUCUCUGACCAAACCAAUCAGCACUCCCCACUCCCUGGCCCUCUACCCAUCAAAUUAUCCUUUAAAAACACUAGUCUGGAAUUUUCAGAGAGACUGAUUUGAGUAAUAAUAAAACUCUCUUCUCCCGA